GUUGUCUACCGCAGAACAAACCAUCAAGUUAUCCUAUCAUUCCUUUUCUUUUCCUGUAUAAAAAAACUCAAGAAUGAGAAAGUUAGGUUUUUUUCUUAUCAUUUCUUUUCCUAUCCCUCCUUAAAAAACUCAAGAACGGAGUGUUAGUAAAAUUGUUUAUACUAGUUUUUUUACUUCCUUACCCUAGAAUCCUAGAUCACUCAUUCAGUACCUUAUCAUCUGCCUUCUCUUUUCUUUUACCUAACCUCGACGAUUUUCCACCUCAACCAUCUUGGAAGCCCAUCGUCAUAAUGCUCAAGUUGUUUCAAAAGAUUGGCGGAUUUACUUCCGGUGAUCAUGGAAUAGUGAAUCAUAUGAUGAAAUCGAAGGAGACAUUAAUGGGUAUUUUGAAAACUAAAGCAUAUCCUUUAUGUAGCAUCAGGAUCAUCAAGCUCACUCAGCUGAUUAAUUGUUUCGAAGAAAAUAGAAUCUAGAAGCCUUACGGUGUGGUUGUGUUACUAGACCCGUGUGUAACAUGUAAUAAACUUGGCUUUCUUUGUUACAAAUAGCUGCAUAGUAGUAAAAGGAAGUAUGAUACAUCAGUUAUAUAGAAUUUCAGCCAACUGCCACAAAAGCA